GCGGUUUAGCGCCUGCCUUUGGCCCAGGGCGCGAUCCUGGCGUCCUCAGAAUUGAGUCCCACGUCAGGCUCCCUGCAUGGAGCCUGCUUUUCCCUCCUCCUGUGUCUCUGCCUCUCUCUCUCUCUCUCUCUCUCUCUCUCUAUCAUAAAUAAAUAAAUAAAUCUUAAAAAAUUAUAGAAAGUUCAUUUUGAUGUUUAUCAAUUAAUCUGCAGAUAGUCACACAAAUUGACAGUAAAAUGCUUCUAUUUGGAAGAUUAUAGAAUAAGUUGAUAGCUUUCUAAAUAGAGGACUUUUCAACAAUAAGUUUAUAAUUUUAAAAAUCUGAUCAAUUUGACUUUAACUUUUAUAAUUAAACAGGCUCUACUGAUCGGGGGAAGAAGUCUUAUGAUGUGAACAUGGUGGACACUAACAUCAAAGCAUCACAGAUGAACAUUGAUUCAUGUUUUACAUGUUCACUGAUGGUUAUACCAUGAGUUCACAGUGUAUACGUUUUCUUUCUCUUUUGACAGGACAAUAUACUUAUUUGCUACUUCUGGGUAGCUUUUUCCGUGAGGUUUUUAAUAAGUAGAGAAAUUAUAUUAAAAAUGUCCACCAUGUGUAUAAUUUAUAGCAAUGUUUGGUCUAAUGGUCAUUACUUAUGGUUUAAUUUUUUGUCUAUCAGAUAAUUCUCUUGUAAGUAGUUAUUUUCUAAAAUGUUCCUAGGUUUCUACUUGAAAGCCAAUGCUGUUCUUUUUAUUUUUCAUUUAGGAGAAGUAAUGUUUAUUAACAUUUUUGGACUUUUGGUAAUUUCCAAAAGCCAACGUGAUACAUUCUAUCUCUUUUCUUACUGCUAUCCUGUACAUUGUUGUGAGGUUAACUUCGCAUACUACUUUUAUAUGUCACUCCUAUACCCCAAUGCCUUUGGUGGCUCUUAGUUGCUCACCACCUUGCUGGCUGUUCAGCCAUCCUCCCAGAGGGAGGAGGAUCCCCCCCUCUCUGGUACCCUACUUUCGUUCCUGUGUUCCCUGUUGAGUUGCUCUUCUCCCUCUCCUCUCACCUCUUUGCUUACACUAUUCUCAUCCUUUUCAUAUCAUGUCCAUCUCUUGAAAGACUGCCUGCCCCUUGAAGACUGCUUCCAUCUUUUAUUGAUAGUGGCUACUUAGCUCUUAGAAAGACUUUCCAUCAAGAUUAUAACUGGUUAGUAUAAUUAGCUUAAAACAGUGACCUCGCCCACCUCUGGCAGUUUUUAUCAUCCUCUUCUUUUAAUUUUUUUUCUAAAAUACAUAUCUUCUAAUGUAUUACAUAUUUAUUUAUUGUGUUUACUGUCUCCCUUUAUUCAAAUGAAAGCCUCCAUAAAGGUAUGUAUUGGUUUGGGUUGUUUUGGUUGAUUUGGUUCACUACUGUAUCGACAUCACCUGAGUACCUGGCACGUGAUAAGCACUCCAAAAAUAUUUGUUAAAUGAAUAAAUAGAAAUCAUUCAAUGAAUGUUAUUUUAUCUUUCUUCUUAUAUCUAAGAUUGUAAAAUGUUUUGUAUAUGAUAUACAAUUAAAUGUAUGUUAGUUGUUACAAUUAAAUUUUGAAUUAGUUUGACAAAAAUUCCAGUAUCACUUUAAUUGAUUAUCUCCCAAAUUUUUAUUACUGUUAAAAUGAUUUUAAAUUGUAAGCUUUUAGUUUCAAUAAAACUUAUGCUAUAGCCAAAAUUUUAUUGCUUUAUAGUCACCAUGUUGAUUUAGAAUGGGAGUGAAAACUCAUUAUUAUAAGUUAUAUCUAAGUAAUAAUGAGUAAUUUAUAAGACUUCCUUCUUAUAAUAACUCUCUGUGAGUAGAUUAUGGCAGAUUAUCCCUAUGUAAUAGAUUACCAAACUAUAUGCUUUUAUCAUUGAAAUAUGUCAGAAAGUUUUCCAUAAAAAAUACUACAAGUGUGAUUGCUACAUAUAUAGAGUGGGAAAUUUAUAAAUGAGGAUAUAAUAAAUGAUUGCCAUUAUAUGGCAUUGUAGAGAAUUGUUGCAGUUAAGGAAAAGUAUUUUAUCAUUAAAGUUUAUUUUUAACAGUUUGUGAAAUAUAUAAUAUAAUUAAAUUGACAAAAGAAGGCUGAGUUAUUAAACAAUGAUGAAAAAUUGUACAGUAUCCUAGAGGAGAGAUAAAAAUAUAAGUCUGAAAAAUAGAAGAACCAAAUCAAUGGUAUGUAAAAACAAAUCCAUAUCUGACAGUCAUUUAAAGUACUUAGAAAAUAGAA
rnacentral:lncRNA from 1 species